rnacentral:rRNA from 1 species
CAGGGGGUGCAAGCGUUGUUCGGAAUGACUGGGCGUAAAGCGCGGGCAGGUGGCCCGUUAAGUCUGCGGUGAAAUCCCGGAGCUCAACUCCGGAUAUGCCGCGGAUACUGGCGGGCUAGAGACCAGUAGAGGCGAGUGGAAUUCCAGGUGUAGCGGUGGAAUGCGUAGAUAUCUGGAAGAACACCGGUGGCGAAGGCGGCUCGCUGGGCUGGUUCUGACACUCAUCCGCGAAAGCGUGGGGAGCAAACAGGAUUAGAUACCCUGGUAGUCCACGCCGUAAACGAUGGGCACUAGAUGCCGGGUCUAUAGACGGAUUCGGUGCCGCAGCUAACGCAUUAAGUGCCCCGCCUGGGGAGUACGGCCGCAAGGCUG